UUUUGGACAAUGGGCGAAAGCCUGAUCCAGCAAUGCCGCGUGUGGGAAGAAGGCCUUCGGGUUGUAAACCACUUUCGUACGGAACGAAAAGGUCUGCCCUAAUACGGUGGGCCCAUGACGGUACCGUAAGAAUAAGCACCGGCUAACUACGUGCCAGCAGCCGCGGUAAUACGUAGGGUGCGAGCGUUAAUCGGAAUUACUGGGCGUAAAGCGUGCGCAGGCGGUUAUAUAAGACAGUUGUGAAAUCCCCGGGCUCAACCUGGGAAUUGCAUCUGUGACUGUAUAGCUAGAGUACGGUAGAGGGGGAUGGAAUUCCGCGUGUAGCAGUGAAAUGCGUAGAUAUGCGGAGGAACACCGAUGGCGAAGGCAAUCCCCUGGACCUGUACUGACGCUCAUGCACGAAA
rnacentral:rRNA from 1 species